AGGUAAGCUACUAAGAGCGAAUGGUGGAUGCCUUGACUGGUAAAGGCGAUGAAGGACGUACUAGACUGCGAUAAGCUACGGGGAGCUGUCAAGAAGCUUUGAUCCGUAGAUUUCCGAAUGGGGCAACCCAAUGUAUAGAGAUAUACAUUACCUAUAUAGGAGCGAACGAGGGGAAUUGAAACAUCUUAGUACCCUCAGGAAAAGAAAUCAAUAGAGAUUGCGUCAGUAGCGGCGAGCGAAAGCGCAAGAGGGCAAACCCAGUGCUUGCACUGGGGGUUGUAGGACUGCAAUGUGCAAGAGGUAAGUUUAGCAGAACAUUCUGGAAAGUAUAACCAUAGAGGGUGAUAGUCCCGUAUGCGAAAAACAAACCUUAGCUAGCAGUAUCCUGAGUAGGGCGGGACACGAGGAAUCCUGUCUGAAUCUGGGUCGACCACGAUCCAACCCUAAAUACUAAUACCAGAUCGAUAGUGCACAAGUACCGUGAGGGAAAGGUGAAAAGAACUGAGGUGAUCAGAGUGAAAUAGAACCUGAAACCAUUUGCUUACAAUCAUUCAGAGCCCUAUGUAGCAAUACAGGGUGAUGGACUGCCUUUUGCAUAAUGAGCCUGCGAGUUGUGGUGUCUGGCAAGGUUAAGCAAACGCGAAGCCGUAGCGAAAGCGAGUCUGAAUAGGGCGCUUAGUCAGAUGCUGCAGACCCGAAACGAAGUGAUCUAUCCAUGAGCAAGUUGAAGCUAGUGUAAGAACUAGUGGAGGACUGAACCCAUAGGCGUUGAAAAGCCCCGGGAUGACUUGUGGAUAGGGGUGAAAGGCCAAUCAAACUUCGUGAUAGCUGGUUCUCUCCGAAAUAUAUUUAGGUAUAGCGUUGUGUCGUAAUAUAAGGGGGUAGAGCACUGAAUGGGCUAGGGCAUACACCAAUGUACCAAACCCUAUCAAACUCCGAAUACCUUAUAUGUAAUCACAGCAGUCAGGCGGCGAGUGAUAAAAUCCGUCGUCAAGAGGGAAACAACCCAGACUACCAGCUAAGGUCCCUAAAUCUUACUUAAGUGGAAAACGAUGUGAAGUUACUUAAACAACCAGGAGGUUGGCUUAGAAGCAGCCAUCCUUUAAAGAAAGCGUAAUAGCUCACUGGUCUAGUGAUUUUGCGCGGAAAAUAUAACGGGGCUAAAGUAAGUACCGAAGCUGUAGACUUGCACACAACUUAGAUUAUUUAAGUUUAGAAUAUGAGAAACUAAGUUAUAUGUUUAGUUAUAUUUUUACUGAUUUUUAUAGAGUAAAGAUAGAAAUAAAACUUAGUAAAAUCAGUAAAAAUAUUCUUAGACUAAAGUUAAGUAGUUUAAGUUGUGUGCAAGUGGUAGGAGAGCGUUCUAUUUGCGUCGAAGGUAUACCGGUAAGGAGUGCUGGAGCGAAUAGAAGUGAGCAUGCAGGCAUGAGUAGCGAUAAUUAAUGUGAGAAUCAUUAACGCCGUAAACCCAAGGUUUCCUACGCGAUGCUCGUCAUCGUAGGGUUAGUCGGGUCCUAAGUCGAGUCCGAAAGGGGUAGACGAUGGCAAAUUGGUUAAUAUUCCAAUACCAACAUUAGUGUGCGAUGGAAGGACGCUUAGGGCUAAGGGGGCUAGCGGAUGGAAGUGCUAGUCUAAGGUCGUAGGAGGUUAUACAGGCAAAUCCGUAUAACAAUACUCCGAGAACUGAAAGGCUUUUUGAAGUCUUCGGAUGGAUAGAAGAACCCCUGAUGCCGUCGAGCCAAGAAAAGUUUCUAAGUUUAGCUAAUGUUGCCCGUACCGUAAACCGACACAGGUGGGUGGGAUGAGUAUUCUAAGGCGCGUGGAAGAACUCUCUUUAAGGAACUCUGCAAAAUAGCACCGUAUCUUCGGUAUAAGGUGUGGUUAGCUUUGUAUUAGGAUUUACUCCGAAAGCAAGGAAACUUACAACAAAGAGUCCCUCCCGACUGUUUACCAAAAACACAGCACUCUGCUAACUCGUAAGAGGAUGUAUAGGGUGUGACGCCUGCCCGGUGCUCGAAGGUUAAUUGAUGGGGUUAGCAUUAGCGAAGCUCUUGAUCGAAGCCCGAGUAAACGGCGGCCGUAACUAUAACGGUCCUAAGGUAGCGAAAUUCCUUGUCGGUUAAAUACCGACCUGCAUGAAUGGCGUAACGAGAUGGGAGCUGUCUCAAAGAGGGAUCCAGUGAAAUUGUAGUGGAGGUGAAAAUUCCUCCUACCCGCGGCAAGACGGAAAGACCCCGUGGACCUUUACUACAGCUUGACACUGCUACUUGGAUAAGAAUGUGCAGGAUAGGUGGGAGGCUUUGAGUAUAUGACGCCAGUUGUAUAUGAGCCAUUGUUGAGAUACCACUCUUUCUUAUUUGGGUAGCUAACCAGCUUGAGUUAUCCUCAAGUGGGACAAUGUCUGGUGGGUAGUUUGACUGGGGCGGUCGCCUCCCAAAUAAUAACGGAGGCUUACAAAGGUUGGCUCAGAACGGUUGGAAAUCGUUCGUAGAGUAUAAAGGUAUAAGCCAGCUUAACUGCAAGACAUACAAGUCAAGCAGAGACGAAAGUCGGUCUUAGUGAUCCGGUGGUUCUGUGUGGAAGGGCCAUCGCUCAAAGGAUAAAAGGUACCCCGGGGAUAACAGGCUGAUCUCCCCCAAGAGCUCACAUCGACGGGGAGGUUUGGCACCUCGAUGUCGGCUCAUCGCAUCCUGGGGCUGGAGCAGGUCCCAAGGGUAUGGCUGUUCGCCAUUUAAAGCGGUACGCGAGCUGGGUUCAGAACGUCGUGAGACAGUUCGGUCCCUAUCUGCCGUGGGCGUAAGAAGAUUGAAGAGAUUUGACCCUAGUACGAGAGGACCGGGUUGAACAAACCACUGGUGUAGCUGUUGUUCUGCCAAGAGCAUCGCAGCGUAGCUAAGUUUGGAAAGGAUAAACGCUGAAAGCAUCUAAGCGUGAAGCCAACUCUAAGAUGAAUCUUCUCUAAGCUCUCUAGAAGACUACUAGUUUGAUAGGCUGGGUGUGUAAUGGAUGAAAGUCCUUUAGCUGACCAGUACUAAUAGAGCGUUUGGCUUAUCUUU
rnacentral:rRNA from 1 species